rnacentral:rRNA from 1 species
CAAUAGCGUAUAUUAAAGUUGUUGCGGUUAAAAAGCUCGUAGUUGGAUUUCUGCCGAGGACGACCGGUCCGCCCUCUGGGUGAGUAUCUGGCUCGGCCUGGGCAUCUUCUUGGAGAACGUAGCUGCACUUGACUGUGUGGUGCGGUAUCCAGGACUUUUACUUUGAGGAAAUUAGAGUGUUUCAAGCAGGCUUACGCCUUGAAUACAUUAGCAUGGAAUAAUAAGAUAGGACCUCGGUUCUAUUUUGUUGGUUUCUAGAGCUGAGGUAAUGAUUAAUAGGGAUAGUUGGGGGCAUUCGUAUUUAACUGUCAGAGGUGAGAUUCUUGGAUUUGUUAAAGACGGGCUACUGCGAAAGCAUUUGCCAAGGAUGUUUUCAUUGA